rnacentral:rRNA from 1 species
GACGAACGCUGGCGGCGUGCUUAACACAUGCAAGUCGAACGCUGAAGCCUAGCUUUUGUUGGGUGGAUGAGUGGCGAACGGGUGAGUAACACGUGAGUAACCUGCCCCCUUCUUUGGGAUAACGCCCGGAAACGGGUGCUAAUACUGGAUAUUCACUGAUCUUCGCAUGGGGGUUGGUGGAAAGGUUUUUUCUGGUGGGGGAUGGGCUCGCGGCCUAUCAGCUUGUUGGUGGGGUGAUGGCCUACCAAGGCUUUGACGGGUAGCCGGCCUGAGAGGGUGACCGGUCACAUUGGGACUGAGAUACGGCCCAGACUCCUACGGGAGGCAGCAGUGGGGAAUAUUGCCCAAUGGGCGAAAGCCUGAUGCAGCGACGCCGCGUGAGGGAUGGAGGCCUUU